CCAAGUGUAAACCCGUCACAGAGAUCAAAACCAAGAAACAAACGGGGCUCUCACGUGAAUCCAUUACCCUCGGAGAGAAUAAAGGAGAUGCUGCCGGGGCCGACGCCGACGCCGACGCUGACGCUGACGCUGACGCUGGUGGGAACCCUGUUUGGGCCGGGCAUCUUAGAUGCACUCCGUUGCCCUCUGCAAGCUCCUCUAUAUCCGGCUGUUGGAUGGGUGGGAUCGAUCGGUUCUAUGUUACCUUGCGUGCUGGGAUGAGGCUGAGGGUCGUCUUCAUGAAUCAUUUCGUAGGACGACGACCUCAAGGCGGCGGUUGACAAGAUGCUGCACAAGGCAAUGGCCGUCAACCAGUACAGAAACUUCUGUCCGUCUUUUUAUUUUGCCUGCCCCUUCUUGAUUUCUUUAUCCUGUUCGAUUUGAUCACCAGUUGGUGUUCUGAAUCUGAAAACCUAAUUUUAGGUGUUCAAGAAGCAUUCUUUCUGAUCCCUCGCGUUGAAGGUUUGCGAGAAAUGAGAGUUUGUGGAAGAAUUGAGGGGAGAGGAUGCCAAGUAUCCACAUGAGGUGGUACUGUUAGGGACCACUGAAAGAUUGAGAUGGUCGCGCUAUGUAAUUGAAGAUUGUGGAUGUAUUUUGAUGUUCGAAGGAUUCGAUAACAAAAUAGAUAUUGCACACCUAAAAAUUUGUAACAAUGAGCACAGACAGAGAAAAUUAAAAGGAAAUAACAAUGACAAUUAGGGAAGGAAGGAAGGAUAUAUACUAUAUGAAAGAAAAGAAUACUGAAAUAUCCUACAUAAUUUCCUUUCUCUUUUGUUAUUGUAUGCCUAAGUUUCAGACAAAAUUGUUUUUCACAUUGUCUGACUCGGCACAGUUCAAUAUGGUAAUGAUUUAGAACUUGUUCGUUUGAUUCAUAAUGCUCAUGGGACUUCCUAUUUUCUUGGUGGAUGCUUGUGUAGCAAACUUGAUAGAUGCUGAUAAUGGAUAAACAAAAUUGGAUGCCUGCGCUCAUCUUUUUGGUAAAUGCUGAUAAAUCUUGCCAAUCAACUUCUAUCUUUAUGUGUAAGCUUAUCCAUGUAUACUUGCUUCAGUUCUUAAGGAGUCAAAUUAAUCAACUGUCAUGCUCAAUCGAUACAGAUUCAGCAUAUUAGUCGAUCAAGGUCUUCUUAGUCUGUAGUUCUUGCAAUUUUCUGGUUCAUGUGGGAAACAUACUAAUAGAACAUAUUCUUAAGUUGUUUUGGCAUACUGGAUCUGCAAAAUUUUCAUUACUUGUUAAUCCAUGCACCUUCUCCAUCACAUGGAAUAGAAAAAUCAUCAUUAUAAAAGGGAAAAAAGAUCAAUCUGGAUCGUGAAUAGGGCUCAGUAAUUGUUAUUUCUGUAGGUUUAUUCCAUCAUGAACUCUCAAGAUUAAUUGACAUCUCUAGUACUUCUAAUAAAUCAUGUUGGUGCCAUCUCUUUUCCUUUGUGAUAGGACUGAAGUAUCUUAUAAGAGUACACUGAUGAUUAUUUUGAGCUUUGUAACACUAGCUAAUGUUAUAUACCAUCUAAAAAAUAUAUGCAGGUCCCAGACGCUUUUAGUGACAUGACAUGUGAUAAUCUAAGAUAAUGUAUACCAAGUUUAAACUAAGCAGAGACAAACACAAAGGGGUAUUUCCAUUUGGAAAGAAAAAAAAAAAGGAUGCACCCAAUUUCUGGAAACCUGUGACUAUUUUGGGCAGUUAUAUUAAAAUGAAUUGUAUCUUGCGAAUAUGCUUAUAAAUCCAAUUUGGGACAACCGUCUUUUACUGGAACUGAAAACUCUUUUUUCCCUUUCUUCUUUAUCACCAGCUGAAAAUCACCAUCAUCAUUAUCCUUUCCCUUAAAAACAGUUGAAUGGAUGAAGCUGUCAAGUAGGUGUGUACAGUUAUGAUGAUGUUGGUAGCUUUCAUAUUUUUAAUUGAAAUUACCUGUAUAUUGAGGUAUUGCAUGAAGGGAAGAAAUUACCCUGUUUCUGCUCCAUAAACUUGUCUUAAAAAUAUGAUUUGCAUUGUGAAAAAUUCAGCUUCCCUAUGUCUAUACAGUAAUUAACAAAGUUUAGCAUCAUUCAGAAAAUGCUUGUAUGCCCCUUCGUAGAACUUUGGUGCAUGAAAUUGUUCACUAAUAUGGACUGUCAUUGAUUAUAAAACUGAAUAACUCUAAAUUUUCCCUCAUUUGUCAUAGAAAAUGGUGGAUGGCACUGAUAUCAACUUUAGAGAAGUAUAUAUGUGAAUAUACCUAUACAGACCACCAGCUAACAAAUUAUGUGAGAUUGUUUGCUUUGUAUGGCCUUUUGCCAUUAUGUUGUAAUCCAAAGACAGGCAUGUCUCUCAGCGACAGUUGUGCUGCAGGCAGAGUGCAAUCUUCAUGAAAUACUAUUUAGAUCAAGUAAACUCAUCCACUGAUUCUUGUAAAUAUCUUGAUUGGUUGGUUUUUGUGAAUGAGUUGGUGGUUGUUAAUCUGUCUACUUCUGUGCACCAUCAACUGCAGAUUGGCUUGUAAACAUGCUACUUGCCCUUAGGAUACAGGGAAACAAUGUAAUGUUUUACUUAGCUAAAUUCAAAGAUUUCAUAGGUGAAGCAAUAUUUAAUGUGCUUGUAAAUUAAUGAUGUUUUGCUGUUCGACAAGAAGUUUUUCUCAUUAGACAAACUUCUAUCAUUGCUCAUUGAGCUUCUCUAUUCUUGUUGCUCUUUUUUUAUCAUGUUGCAGAUGAUGAAGUUUUGAGUAAUACAUCAGGUGCUUCAUUGGUAAUUUUUUGAGCCUUUUAUAGGAGUUUAUCUUUCCUACAAAUUCAUGAUCACUAGUACCCUAAAUUUUUAUGCCUACAAUCAUGAAGAGACGUUAUCUUUAACCAGGUGCAGUUCUGCAUCAUCUUCAGACAUUAUAAUUGGAUAGUAAACCUGCAAGGUGAAUGUCUGUUCUUAGAAAUUUGACUCUUUGAAUAUAGGACAUGUUUUCUCCCAACAUGACUCUGCUUUCAUGUUAGCAUUUGAAAGAACAUCUCUUCCAUUCUUCACCUCCACUAGACCUGCUACAUGGACACGACUGUACUAUUAUUAUCCUUGGUGAUAAUGUUCUCUGAGCUACCAAUUGUGCCUAAUGGUGGUUUUGUUCAAGUCAACCAACCAAACUAAGGCUUUGACACAACUAAUCUGCCAGAAUAUGCUUAUACUGCAACUUUCUUUCCGGUGCUUACUCUCUGAAUCUUCAGGGAAACGUGGAGCAGCAUAUCAGAGACCUGGCGCGAACUAGGCCGCUCGGAAGGAGCCAUCCUGGUGCAUUGCAAGGCCACAUUGAGCACUUCAAACAGAGAGGACUCCUCACGCGGUGCCACCGGCUUCAGAGCAGGAUCCAGCAACUCCUCCCGCUCUGUCACCGUCAUCGUCGUCGCAGUCCGAGACUGCACCCAGGUCACCAUAUUCAUGUCUCCUCCGAACCUCCGAUCUGUGGGCAUUAACCCGCUAACGAGCUCCAUGAGAACAAUGCCCAUGCUGUAGACGUCGCUCUUCUCCGUCGCCUUUGGGGACGUACCUGGAGCCAUGUAGCCAUAGGAUCCGGCGAAGCAGGAGCCAGUCUCCGUGUACCGUGCCGAACCGUCCGGGUAAUUCUCGGCGGCGACUGCCUUUGCCAGUCCAAAGUCGCCCAAAUGUGCCUCCAUGUCACCGUCGAGCAGCACAUUGCUCGACUUGAUAUCCCUGUGAACUAUCAUUGGCACGCAGUCGUGGUGCAGGUACUCCACUCCUUUGGCAAGGCCGAUCGCGAUCUUCAACCUGGCCUCCCAGCUCAGCUCUCGCUUCCUCUUCUGGCUCACUGCAGGCUCGUGCAGCCAAUUCCACAGGCUUCCAUUCUCCAUGUACUCGUAUACCAGCAGAUGCUCCCCCUGAUUUCUGCUAAGCAAGGAUUCCCUUUUGUCAUGCAGAAUCUUCUUCACGGCCACUGUCUCACCGGACGGCAUUUCAACUCUGUAGACGGUGCCCGACCCGCCAGAACCGAUGACGAACUCGUCGCUCAGGUUGCACGUCGCUUCCAUGAUAGCUUCCCAUUUGAGUUCUCGCCUCGUGGAUCCCUUCACGAUCAGUUCUCGAUGAAUCUUGGAAGAGGAACCCUUGAAGGAGUAUGCGCAAUUGACCUCGCUUGAUCUCUCUGCGCACCGCCUUCUGAUCCAUAACACAGCGGCUAUCAGCAGGAGAAUGAUCACCAGCGUCACGGUGGCAGAGAUCACGGCUACAGCAGCUGAGCUUAAGGUGGAACCUUCGCGGGCGGGCCUGAUAAUGUUGCACGGCUGGAGGGGACUCCCGCAGAGACCAAGGUUCGCAGCGAAAGACUGCGGUGGCCAGCGGGCGAAUCGGCCGUCCAAUUGCCCCUCCAAAUCGUUGCUCGAGAGAUCGAGCACCACCAAGCUACUCAUUUCACCUAUUUGUCGCGGGACAUCUCCGGUCAGAAAAUUGUGCGAGAGGUUCAGAUAUUCGAGCUUCGCAAGCGACGCAAGCGAUGACGGAAUCUCGCCGCUGAGGUUGUUGAAGCUGAGGUCUAACGCACUCUGUAGUUCCUGCAGUCGUCCAAGCUCGACCAGGACCGGCCCGGUGAACAGAUUCCUCGACAACCGGAGCUCAUAAAGCUUGCUUAGCUGCGCUAUGGAGGCAGGGAUUGCUCCAGAAAACUGAUUGUGGGCUAAGUCCAGGACAUUGACGGAUGCAAGUUUGCCAAUUUCAGGAGGGAGUGAGCCACUGAGUGAGUUAUCUGCGAGAGAGACCUUCAGUAGAUUAGAGCAAUUGAAGAGCUCAACAGGAAGAGGCCCAAAGAAUCUGUUAGAAGAGAGUUUGAGCUCCCCCAGCUGCGGUAUGCUCCCAAGCCACGUCGGGACGACUCCAGUUAGCCGAUUAUUGUUCAGAACAAUGUGGGUGAGAUUCUUGCAUGCCGCCAGUUCCUUCGGUAUUACUCCGGUCAGCAAGUUGCUCGACAAGUCCAGAAGCGAGAGAGCCCCGAUUUCUCCGAGCAUCGGCGGUAUCUUGCCGGUCAGACGAUUGUUCCCCAGCCGGAUCCGCUCGAGCGCCGGUGAGUUUCCGAGUUGCGCUGGAAUCUCCAGGUUGAAGGAAUUGUUGGUGAGAUCGAACGACAGAAGCGAGGUCGAGCCGCACAGCGGAAGGAUGCUCCCGUUGAACCGGUUGUUGGACAGGUUCACUCUCGUGAUGUUCCGGCAAUCAAACAUCUCAUCGGGGAUGCUUCCUUCGAGCGAGUUGUUGUACAGCAUGAGCUGUUGGAGCGAUUUCAGGAGCCCAAAAGUCGCCGGAAUCCCGCCAGGGAGCCGGUUGUCGGCCAAGUCGAGGAUCGUGAGCUGCCGGCAAUUGCCCAGCGACGCGGGGAUCUUGCUGGAGAGGUCGUUCUGCCUCAGAUGCAGGAAACUGAGCUGCUCCAGCCUGCCGAUAGUCGCCGGAAUGCCGCCAGAGAACUGGUUCCCGUAGAAAUCGAUCAUUUUCAAGCUUGAACAGUUCCCGAUGGCCGAGGGGAUCUCGCCGGACAACUGGUUUUCAUAGAGAUAAAGGAUCUGCAGCUGCUGCAACCUGCCAAUCUCCUCCGGCAGCUGCCCUCGCAGCUCAUUGUGAUAGAGCGUCAGUAUCUGAAGAUUGCUGAGGUUGCCGAAUUCGCGAAGAAUCGAACCCGACAAGCUGUUAUUGUUGAGCAGGAGAUCAGUAAGGUCGACGAGCUCACCGAGUUCGACCGGGAUUGCGCCAGUGAAGCUGUUGUUUGCCAAAUCCAAUUGCGUCAAGGACAGGCAUUGGACCAAGCCGGCCGGAAUUUGACCGGAGAACCUGUUGGUGGACAGGAACAAGUGCUGCAACCUAGUCGCAUUUUGGCAGAGGUCCUCCGGCAGGCCGCCGGAGAGUUUGUUGUUGGACAAGACUAGAUAAUUGAGUUCACUCAGUUGGCCGAGCUCGGCGGGGAACUCGCCUUCGAGCUCGUUCAUCGACAAGUCCAGAUUUUGAAGGCCGACGAGCUUGCAGAGAGAUCUCGGAAUGGUCCCUUCAAGCCGGUUGGACAUCAUGUUGAGGUAGGUUAAUUGGCUCAGCUUGCCGAGUUGACUCGGUAUUUCUCCCUGCAGCAAGUUGUUGGCAAGGUUUAGGAUCCGGAGAUCAGCCAGAUUGCCGAGCUCCGAGGGGAUAUGACCGUCGAGCUGGUUCUGUUGGAGGACUAAGUUCUGGAGAUGUGUCAGCCGGCCGAGUCGACGCGGAAUGGAGCCGGAGAGGUUGCAGAGGGCCAAGGCGAGAGUGGUCAGGUUCCGGAGGUCGCCGAACGAGUCCGGGAUCGGUCCCGACAGGCCUGGGUUGUCGCCCAGCCGGAUGACUCGAAGGCUGGAGAGCGAGCCGAGCGAAGAGGGAAUCGUUCCCGAGAGACGGUUGGAGUAGAGGAAGAGAGUGGUCAGAGCGGAGAGCCCGGCGAGCUGGCUCGGGAUUGUACCCGUGAGCCGGUUGGAGGAGACAUCGAGGGUGGCGAGUCGACUCAGCCGGCCGAGGGAGCGGGAGAGGGAGCCAGCCAGGGACGAGGAGGAGAGAUUGAGAGCCACCACCGCCGAGUCCAGAUCGCAGGUGACUCCAUUCCAAGAGCAGUAGUCGGGGUUAUCCUUUCUCCAGUCGUCGAGCACUCCUCGGGGGUCCUCCGUGAAAGAUUUCCUCACCUCAAAAAGAACUUCCAUGUACACCGAGUCCAAGUAGCGACAGAGAGCCGAAGGAGGCAGGAAAGAGAUCACCACCAGUAGAACAACCAGCGUGAUCCUCCGGUUGCAUUCACAACCCCCCUUCCUUGCGCCACCUGCUUUUCUGGGACAGAAGAGAAAAUUGGAGGAUGAGAGGGAGAAAGAAAGGGGUGAAAACACCUGCAUGUUGACGACAUAUUUGAGCUUCUAUUCUGCAUCAAAAGUUUUAUCUGUCAUCUUCUGUGGAAGUAAAUCUUUAUGGUAGGAAUCCUUCCAAUGAGAUUACUUGUUCGACAAUGGUCAAAGCAUGGUCCUACAGAAUAUGGGCAGCAUAUCAGAACUGUCUCCAUUACUUAAUAGCAGCUGUUUCUUCAAUUCAACAUAAAGGAAUUUAGAGUCACGGGUAGAUCAAACGACUCACUCCCUCGACUAUUCCAACGCAUAAAACAAGCUUCCACCAACUUGCUCUUUUGCGUUGCUGUUGUUCUAUUGCAUGUCUUCUUCUCUUUGUUUUCCUCUCUCACAACAUAUUUUUUUCUCGUGCAAACUGAUAGGCUCUGUGAUGAAGGUGAGAGUCACCGAACCCAGCUGUCUUCAAGUGCUAUUUCUUUUUGGCAGUGGGGAAGGAGAAGACUGCAGCGAGCGAGACUCGAUUGGUGAUUUCUGCACAUAAUAUGGAGAUGGUUUGUUCUUGAUUGCAAUAGGAUACCCCUCCUCACCAUUCUUCAGAUGAAAUGGAGGUGGCCUCCCAUCGGCAGAUUUAGGCUAGCAAAGGACAUCAAGAAGAGAUUCCAGCGCACAAAGAUGAAAGAAAGAUUGAUGUGGUCAAUGAGAAUUCAAGUGUUGGGAUACAAUCUGAUGAGUGCUAAUCUAUGAUGUGUUGGGCAAAAAAGACAAAACGGCUAAGAAGAAGCAUAACCCAGCAGCAUUUUGGCCUUACAAGUACUUGAAUUGAAGAUGACAAGUGGAGACCAAACUUUUAGAUUAAAUGAUGGCGUGAAAAUGAGAAGUUGAGCUGUGUGUAUAUAUACUCGAGCAGGAAGCAGGAUUUGUGGUGGUAUAAUGUUGCCUUAUCGGCUUUGGUAUGAACACUGACUGACACAGCCUGGUCUCAGCCCCAUUGCCAGUCACUCGAAAAGGGCAGGACAAAAUCUUGACCUACAGACGCCAAGGUUGACUGUGUUGAAAGGGGACAAACACAAAUUUUGGGGUGACUCGUUCCAGCCCCCUUCUCUGCAGAGGUCAGGCAGCAAUGGCUUGAAAGAUUACCCCCUCCCCCAUUUAUUUUUUGGCCUCUCUCACUGGUCAAGGUCAGAAACUUGACCUGGGGCUUUGGAUCGUGUUAGUGGGAAUUCUUCUAGGGUAAUACCAGUUCUAGAUGCAGAAGAUAUGACAGUAUAA